AAAAAGACAAAUCAUAAGUUUCUGUGUCCAACUUUGACUGUCCGUCUUAUAUGAUAUUUUUUUAUAAUUCGUAUUUUCAUUGUUGUUAGAUGAUAAAACAUGAUUAAUAUUUCAUGCGUGACUUGUCUUUUUAAUUUUUUUCAUAUUUUUUUUAUAAAUAAGACGGACGGUCAAACGUUGGGCACGGAAACCUGGGUUUGUCUUUUUU
rfam:Oryza barthii chromosome 5, whole genome shotgun sequence.